rnacentral:rRNA from 1 species
AAUGGGGGAUAACGUAGCGAAAGUUACGCUAAUACCGCAUAUGCCCUGAGGGGGAAAGGUGGGGAUCGCAAGACCUAUCGUUUUCGGGGUGGCCGAUAUCAGAUUAGCUAGUUGGUGAGGUAAAGGCUCACCAAGGCGACGAUCUGUAGCUGGUCUGAGAGGACGACCAGCCACACUGGGACUGAGACACGGCCCAGACUCCUACGGGAGGCAGCAGUGGGGAAUUUUGGACAAUGGGGGCAACCCUGAUCCAGCCAUGCCGCGUGAGUGAAGAAGGCCUUCGGGUUGUAAAGCUCUUUCAGACGGAAAGAAAUCGCUAUUCCUAAUAUGAGUGGUGGAUGACGGUACCGUCAGAAGAAGCACCGGCUAACUACGUGCCAGCAGCCGCGGUAAUACGUAGGGUGCGAGCGUUAAUCGGAAUUACUGGGCGUAAAGCGUGCGCAGGCGGUUUUGUAAGACAGACGUGAAAUCCCCGGGCUUAACCUGGGAACUGCGUUUGUGACUGCAAGGCUAGAGUACGGCAGAGGGGGGUAGAAUUCCA